AAUCCCAGUCAUGGUACAUGUCUGUGUCCUUGGACAAGACACUUCAUCUGCAUCAUCUUAGUCCACCCAGCUGUAAAUAGGUACCGGCCUCGGCUGGAGAAAUAACCUGUGUCGGACUGGCCAGCGGGAUUUGUA